CAGGAGCACCCUCCCCUUGGAAAUGUCCCAGACCCUCAGCCUCAUAGGCGGACCUCCUUUGAUGGCUCUGGGGGAGCAAUGUGGCUGUCCAAGGAGGGGCUGUGAGCUUUCCACAGCCCCCCUCACCAGCCAGACUGGUUUGUCUGCAUUUCCCAUGAGACACAGCUGCUGUGAGCCAUAGCACAGUCUAGAAAUUAUAUAAGACUGAAAGUGAUUGUAACAAUGUGAAGGAAAAUGAAAUUCAAAGAUUCCUGGAAUCGUUUUUAAUGUCAAAAGAUAGUUGUUUCAAAACAGAUUUACAAAUCUUGCUGGCCUGUUGUAUUAGAGGACAUUACGAUUUUAUGUCUUUUACUUGUUUUGCCAUUUUAUCCAAAAGAAUAUUAUACAUGUGGCAUGAAUGAACACCAUCUCUUCAUGAGUGUUCUUUCAGAAAGGUUUUGGAUAUUGUAUUGGGGGCUCACAGUUAGAUAAAGGUCUGAAACAUAUACUAUUGGGAUACCCUGAAAAGCUAGACUUAGUCUACAUAAAAAGAUUGAAAAGAUUGAAGAUGGAUGUAAACAAGGUGUGAUUUUGUUUUUGAAACAUGGAAACUGCUGUUAUGUAGCUGCCAUAAUAAGCAGAGAAAAGCUGAGUGUUCGGUCUGGUCUGCACUAAGCCUGCACAGACAUCUCACUCGAGUCUCCACCUGAUGGAGGGAAACUUGGACCACAGAGAGGGUGAGUAACUCCCUCCAGAUCAGACAGCUGGCCACAGAGCCAGGAUUUAGGGCCAGGGCUGACCCCAAGGUCCAUGUCUUUGGAAACCAGGCUGUGAAUUCAGGCCCCUCGGCCUAUUCUUCAGCUCUCUGUCCCAGGACAGAUAACUUCAUCUCCUCCCAGCCCCCACGGAAAAAGGAAUUCUGGAUACCAGCGCUAAAGGAUAACUCAGCGGAAAGAUUUCAAAAGCUAGAUUCAUUCAAGGGGUUGGACAUAACAUUAGCUUAGAUUUCCUGACAGGAGCGAUUGCCACUCAGCCAGCCAUUCCACCAUUUCCCAGUGGCCCCAGCAC
rnacentral:lncRNA from 1 species